CGCGGCCUAUCAGCUUGUUGGUGGGGUGAUGGCCUACCAAGGCGACGACGGGUAGCCGGCCUGAGAGGGCGACCGGCCACACUGGGACUGAGACACAGCCCAGACUCCUACGGGAGGCAGCAGUGGGGAAUAUUGCACAAUGGGCGAAAGCCUGAUGCAGCGACGCCGCGUGAGGGAUGACGGCCUUCGGGUUGUAAACCUCUUUCACCCAUGACGAAGCGUAAGUGACGGUAGUGGGAGAAGAAGCGCCGGCCAACUACGUGCCAGCAGCCGCGGUAAGACGUAGGGCGCGAGCGUUGUCCGGAUUUAUUGGGCGUAAAGAGCUCGUAGGCGGCUUGUUGCGUCGGCUGUGAAAACCCAUGGCUUAACCGUGGGCUUGCAGCCGAUACGGGCAGGCUAGAGUUCGGUAGGGGAGACUGGAAUUCCUGGUGUAGCGGUGAAAUGCGCAGAUAUCAGGAGGAACACCGGUGGCGAAGGCGGGUCUCUGGGCCGAUACUGACGCUGAGGAGCGAAAGCGUGGGGAGCGAACAGGAUUAGAUACCCUGGUAGUCCACGCUGUAAACGUUGGGCGCUAGGUGUGGGGGACCUCUCCGGUUCUCUGUGCCGCAGCUAACGCAUUAAGCGCCCCGCCUGGGAGUACGGA
rnacentral:rRNA from 1 species